CGCCUCUUGACCCAAAUAAGAGGUCCAGCCUGCCCAGUGACACCAUGUUCAACGGCCGCGGUAUCCUGACCGUGCAAAGGUAGCGUAAUCACUUGUUUUUUAAAUAAAGACUAGUAUGAAAGGCAUCACGAGGAUUAACCUGUCUCCUCUCCCCAAUCUGUGAAACUAAUCUUCCCGUGAAGAAGCGGGAAUCUUCCCAUAAGACGAGAAGACCCUAUGGAGCUUUAGACACGCGAUACUGCCGCCACUCGCCCACCAAAAGCUCAUCACGGCAUCUUACCGCACAGUCUUAGGUUGGGGUGACCGCGGAGCAAAACUUACCCUCCACGCUGAAUGGGACCCCCCAAACAAAGAGCCACAACUCCAUGUAUCAAAAAACUGACAGCGAUUGACCCAAUCACUUGAUCAACGAAACAAGUUACCCUAGGGAUAACAGCGCAAUCCUCUUCGAGAGCCCCUAUCGACAAGAGGGUUUACGACCUCGAUGUUGGAUCAGGGUGUCCAAGUGGUGCAGCCGCUACUAAAGGCUCGU
rnacentral:rRNA from 1 species